AUUGAACGCUGGCGGCAUGCCUUACACAUGCAAGUCGAACGGUAACGCGGGGCAACCUGGCGACGAGUGGCGAACGGGUGAGUAAUGCAUCGGAACGUGCCCAGUAGUGGGGGAUAGCCCGGCGAAAGCCGGAUUAAUACCGCACACGACUUACGGGUGAAAGCGGGGGACCGUAAGGCCUCGCGCUAUUGGAGCGGCCGAUGUCAGAUUAGGUUGUUGGUGGGGUAAAAGCCUACCAAGCCGACGAUCUGUAGCUGGUCUGAGAGGACGACCAGCCACACUGGGACUGAGACACGGCCCAGACUCCUACGGGAGGCAGCAGUGGGGAAUUUUGGACAAUGGGGGCAACCCUGAUCCAGCCAUGCCGCGUGCGGGAAGAAGGCCUUCGGGUUGUAAACCGCUUUUGUCAGGGAAGAAACGCUCUGGGCUAAUACCCCGGGGUAAUGACGGUACCUGAAGAAUAAGCACCGGCUAACUACGUGCCAGCAGCCGCCGUAAGAC
rnacentral:rRNA from 1 species